GGGGUGCAGAGCGGUCAGCCCGUGUGGGCCACAUGAGUUGGCAGGGAAUAGAGGGCACUCAGCAUGGGUGGUGAGCACUGGAGGGUUAUCCCAGGAAAUGCUCCUCCACCUCCUGAGGACAGCAGUGCCGCAACCCCAGGAAAGGCCCUCUGGGGCCUCCAAGAACGGAGCAGUCUGCAGAUGAGGUGGCGGCUACGGAAGCAGGUAGGCAGAGGCUCUCCCCUGGGGAUUCGGGGUAGGAGUGGGAAACUGAGUCACAAGCACCCUCCUUACCCCCAGGGCACUCACUGCUCACCUUUCUUUAUGGCCAGUGGGAUCUUGAACUCACAGCGGUGAUAGCUACAGAAAAGGCAAAGAGGAACUUGGAACCUAGAAGACCCAGCGCUUAGAGGACCUGUACUCCAGCCAGCCCUGCGACAGUUCUUGCUAGUACACUGCUGCCCCAAUCAUUUCUCAUCCACGUGUGCUGCCCAGCAGCAGUGAUACUGACCCCUGGCUCCAUCUGGCACCCCAAGUCCGCUGUGCUGCCCCUGGAGUGGGCCACUAAAAAUACCCCGGGUCUUUUCUAGACUCUGGUGCUCUAUGAUAACCUGCUUUCUGGAGUCUCCAUGUUUUCCCUCAGAAAAGAAGUCAUGACACAGCAGGGAGCCUGUAUUUCUCAGCCUUCCAGAGGCAGGAAAGGUCAAGGGGCAAAGCCAUCAGUUCACUGUGGCCCAAGCCUGGCUGCUGCCACACACGAGCACACAGAUUUAUAGAAGACUUUGUGUGGAGAGCCAAGCAUGCUAAGAACAUCUUGGCAGGAAUCGCCAAAAUAUACUGAACGUUCAAACACCCGCAUCUUGGCAUCUGCUAACAGGCCGGGGCCACAACCUGCGGAGAAGAAGGGAUGGACUGUCAGGACUGGGGACCCCGGAGCCCCAGGCACUGGGACUGCAGAGGAUACUUGGCUUGUAACCUGCCCAGGGAACUGAGCAGGCUUGAAGGUUGCCUCAGGACGCACGGCUGCAAUUCCUGGGCUGCUGCACGUGGGAGCCUUGCUAAUGUAACAAAGGCAGUGGAUAAGGCUUCUCUGUAUCAAGUGGACAGUGGGAAAGAAGACUCACCAGUAUUUUAACUUCACUUUAGUCAAGUCAUAUACUUCAAUCACCUUAAAAAAAAAAAGCUUGAGUUGUUAAUUAGUUUGAUGACAAACAAAACUGAACAGAUAUUUAUGGUAUAAAUAGUACAUUUAUGGGAAAAACACUCUCCAACUCUGCUACCCUUAUUUCUCCCAGUGGACUGCACAUGGAUCAGGCCUGGGUAGCCAGUCCCCAGCUGAAUUGUACUGGGUGACACUCUCCCAACCCCUCUCACCCAGGGCAGCAACAUUUUCCAGAGAAACAGACGCACGCAGCCCCAAGGCUCUGAAUGCAGAGCCCAUUCCUUCUACUCCAUACUUUGAUAUAUUAUAAAAACUCAAAUCUAGUUCCUUUUAAAAACAGCUUAUAAAAGUUUAUUUUCCUCACAAAAUAAAAAUAUGGAGGGACAGUUCUAUCUUGCAAGAAAAUAGGGUACAAUACUGGCUCAGGCUACAUGUGUGUUUGGUCAUGUCCCUAAGAAGCAUAUGGUUGAAACCAUCUGAUGAACCUCAAGACCCUUGUGAAGUUUUUUUUCUUUUUUAAUAAAACAUUCACUCUCUCAUUUCAUCCGCAUCUAUAUCUUUCCCAGUUUUUUAAAUGUCACCAAGAUUACUUGUCCCGACACUUGGGUCAUCUUGUGUUG